rnacentral:rRNA from 1 species
GCAGUCGAGCGGAUGAAGGGAGCUUGCUCCUGGAUUCAACGGCGGACGGGUGAGUAAUGCCUAGGAAUCUGCCUGGUAGUGGGGGAUAACGUCCGGAAACGGGCGCUAAUACCGCAUACGUCCUGAGGGAGAAAGUGGGGGAUCUUCGGACCUCACGCUAUCAGAUGAGCCUAGGUCGGAUUAGCUAGUUGGUGGGGUAAAGGCCUACCAAGGCGACGAUCCGUAACUGGUCUGAGAGGAUGAUCA